UGGGGAAUAUUGGACAAUGGGCGCAAGCCUGAUCCAGCCAUGCCGCGUGAGUGAUGACGGCCUUAGGGUUGUAAAGCUCUUUCACCCACGACGAUAAUGACGGUAGUGGGAGAAGAAGCCCCGGCUAACUUCGUGCCAGCAGCCGCGGUAAUACGAAGGGGGCUAGCGUUGUUCGGAAUUACUGGGCGUAAAGCGUACGUAGGCGGACCGUUAAGUCAGAGGUGAAAUCCCGGAGCUCAACUUCGGAAUUGCCUUUGAUACUGGCGGUCUUGAGUUCGGGAGAGGUGAGUGGAACUGCUAGUGUAGAGGUGAAAUUCGUAGAUAUUAGCAAGAACACCAGUGGCGAAGGCGGCUCACUGGCCCGAUACUGACGCUGAGGUACGAAAGCGUGGGGAGCAAA
rnacentral:rRNA from 1 species